AACGAUAUUCAAUCGGAGGUUGCGUUUUUACAGAAAAAAUUGAUUUUCUAUUCAGCAAUUACAUUGCUAUUAAGUUGAUAGUAACACUUAAAUUCGUUAACUUGAAAGUAGGUUUUUAUGUUAUUACUUUCAUAUCAACAUUUUUGGCUUCUUUUUUAUAAAAUUGUUCAAGUUUUUUUAACAAUAACUAAAAAGUUGUUAAUCAAUUUUGGGUCAUAUAGAUUUCUUUAUAUAAACGAUCGUACAUUAUGAAUGUGUUAUGGGCAAUAAUUUGGUUUAUUGUUCUGUUGUUUAUCGCCUGGCCAAUCGCUAGUUUUUGUGCAAGUUGGUAUGUUUGUUGUAUUCCGUUUGAAGUAUGCAUCGAUGCUCUUAAACCGCUAAAUGAAAUUUUAUUUAAAGGUCUCAAAUUGCCUUAUGAAGUAGCAGUUCGUUUAAAAGAUGGUAAAGCCGGCUGGUAACCAACUUGAGAAUCAUGUUAUGACUCACAUACAAAAUAAAAAUGAACUUACCGAAACAGUUUAGCUUAGCUUAUGUUUUAAAAUAAAUUAUCAAAAAACUA